AGUGUAAUACUUUAAUAAAAAGGUUAAGUUUGCAUCUUAAAAUUGAAUUUUGUGUUCUUACACUA
rnacentral:tRNA from 1 species